rnacentral:lncRNA from 1 species
AUGUCCAAUUCCUACCCCAAAUCUCCAAUUUUUACCCCAAAUCUCCAAUUUCUACCAAAAAAUGUCCAAUUCCUACCCCAAAUCUCCAAUUCCUACCCCAAAUCUCCAAUUUUCACCCCAAAUCUCCACUCCCCAUCCCCUCCACCACCACCACCACACCCCAACACCAAUAAUUUGAAUUUUCCCCCUUUUUCCUCCGUUCUUUCUCCGCCCCCUCGUCCCCCUCCGAGGCCUCACGGAAGCCAUAACCGAGGGGGGAUUUUGGGGUGGUUUUGGGUGUUUUUGGGGUGUUUUUGGGGGGUUUCAGGGCAGGGGGGGCCCGUUGACGCCGGGGUGGUAGAAGGCACAGUUGUUCUCGUACCUGCAGCUGCCCUUGAGCAUGAAGUGGCGGCACACGGCGCGGCUCGACAUGUCUGGGGGAGACAAAAGGGGGGGGGCGCGUCAGGCGCCGGCCCCCGGCCCCAAAACGGCCCCAAAACGGCCCAAAACGGCCCCAAAAACGGCGCCGGGGCAAAUCCCGGUACCGGGGAGGGGUCAGCGGGAGGGAGGGGAGGAAAGGGUUAAAAAGGUUUUGGGGAGGAUUUUGGGGGGAUCGAGGGGAAGGGGGGGGUGAAUCCCCUCAGACUCAAAACGGCCCCAAAAUGGCUCAAAACGGCCCCAAAAUGGCUCAAAACGGCCCCAAAAUGGCUCCGGGACGGCCUCAAAAUGGCGGCUGCGUGAGGACAACGGGGACGACAAUUUGGAGGAUUUUGGGAAGUUUAAGGACAAAUUUAGGGGUAAAAGGGGCAGGGGGUGAACCCCUGACCCCAAAACAGUCCAAACUGUUUUUAAGGGACCCCAAAAUGGCCCCAAAUUUGCUCAAAAUUGCCCCAAAAUGGCUCCAGAACAGGCUCGGAAUGGUCUCAAAAUGGCGGCUGCGUGAGGACGGUGUGGGGACGCAAUUUUGGACAGGUUUGGGAGAAUUGAGGAGAAUUUUGGGGGUUCAAGGGGAAGGGGGUGAACCCCUGACCCAAAAUGGAUCCAAACAGCCCCAAAAUUGCUCAAAAUGGCCCCAAAAUUGCUCAAAAUGGCCCCAAAGUGGCUCCGGAAGGGGCUCAGGACGGCCUCAAAAUGGCGGCUGGGUGGGGACGGUGGGGACGCAAUUUUAGACAAUUUUGGGGAGGUUUGAGACGGAUUUAGGUGGUAAAAUGGGAAGGGGGUUAACCCCAGACUCUGAAAUGGGCCAAAAUUGCCCAAAAAGGGCCCAAAAUGGUUCCAGGAUGGCCUCAAAACUGGCCCAAAAUGGCGGCGCCUCUGUGAGGGAGACGGAGGCGGGGACACAAAUUUUGGGGGGUUUCAGAGGAUUUUGGGGGCUUAGAGAGAAGGGGAUGAACCCCUGACAACAAAAUAAUGAAAAAUGGCCCCAAAAUUGAGCAGGAAAACAACGGACAC